rnacentral:lncRNA from 1 species
AAGUCCCAGCUGUAGGCAACCGUACCAAAACCAGGAUUGUAAAGUACUACAGUGGGAAUGUCGUUUUAAACAUGCUAAAUGGAGACGGAUCUGGGCCCGUGGUACCAGUGACAUAUCUGGACCAAGCGGAAAAGAAUAGCAUGUUGAGUAAUGCUCAUGCUCAUAUAUCAUGACAAAGAACUAUGUGUGAUAUGACAAUUUGAGGUCAAAUACAUAAACAUGACUUAUUUAUGACGCCAUUGUGACAGAACUCGCGAUUUUUGCAAUAAAGGAUCCAGAUUAAAACAUCUGGUUCAUUUAUCAAUAAACCAUAACAUAAUUUUAACAGCCU